CCUACGGGAGGCAGCAGUGGGGAAUAUUGGACAAUGGGGGGAACCCUGAUCCAGCGACGCCGCGUGAGUGAAGAAGUAUUUCGGUAUGUAAAGCUCUAUCAGCAGGGAAGAAAGAAAUGACGGUACCUGACUAAGAAGCCCCGGCUAACUACGUGCCAGCAGCCGCGGUAAUACGUCGGGGGCAAGCGUUAUCCGGAUUUACUGGGUGUAAAGGGAGCGUAGACGGCGAUGCAAGUCUGAAGUGAAAGGCGGGGGCCCAACCCCCGGACUGCUUUGGAAACUGUAUGGCUGGAGUGCAGGGGAGGUAAGGGGAAUGCCUAGUGUAGCGGUGAAAUGCGUAGAUAUUAGGAGGAACACCAGUGGCGAAGGCGGCUUACUGGACUGUAACUGACGUUGAGGCUCGAAAGCGUGGGGAGCAAACAGGAUUAGAUACCCUUGUAGUC
rnacentral:rRNA from 1 species